AUUGAACGCUGGCGGCAUGCCUAACACAUGCAAGUCGAACGGAAACGACGAAAACAAUCCCUUCGGGGUGCGUCUUCGGGCGUCGAGUGGCGGACGGGUGCGUAACGCGUAGGAAUCUACCUUAUAGUGGGGGACAACUCGAGGAAACUCGAGCUAAUACCGCAUAAUCCUUACGAGGGAAAGCAGGGGAUCUUCGGACCUUGUGCUAUUAGAUGAGCCUGCGUCGGAUUAGCUUGUUGGUAGGGUAAUGGCCUACCAAGGCAGCGAUCCGUAGCUGGUCUGAGAGGACGACCAGCCACACUGGGACUGAGACACGGCCCAGACUCCUACGGGAGGCAGCAGUGGGGAAUAUUGGACAAUGGGCGCAAGCCUGAUCCAGCAAUGCCGCGUGUGUGAAGAAGGCCUUAGGGUUGUAAAGCACUUUCAGUAGGGAAGAAAUGCGUGUAGCUAAUAACUGCGCGUCUUGACGGUACCUACAGAAGAAGCACCGGCUAACUCCGUGCC
rnacentral:rRNA from 1 species